CCACACUUACUCUAGGCAUCACUUCGUUAUCUUUAGAGAUCACACGUCCACCGGUGGAAGAUCUCCUUGGUCAGUCUGGUGAUGGCCCUUCGAACCAAGGUCUCGAUUUCCGGGAAGUCAGCAGCGGUCUUGGUGGAGUCAGCGGGCCAGGUCGGGGAGGCACGGGUAUGGCCACUAGACCAUGCCCCUCUAUGCCCCUCACCCCUGACCUUGACCCAGAUGCACUCAGGCCCUCCCCCCCUCGAAGCCAGUCCCAGCCCUCCGACCUUACCCAGGAGCGAUCCCGAGAGGCCAGCCCUGGAACCAGCAAAGUCCAGCUCCCAGACACCCCAAAGACUGAAUCGGAUGUUUAGAGGUAUCGCAAUCGCACCCGAAAGACCAUAGACCAGAAGUAUGGAUAGAUCUGACCUUUAGCCAAGUCAAUUAUUUUUUUCUCUAUCUCUCUCUCUCAGACUCUUCAGUCUCUCUUUAAAAUGCAACACAAGGAAUCGGUGGCAGACUUGUUUCCUCUUUUUUUCUCUCUCUCUUUUUCUUUUUCUUCUUUUUACCUCCACCGGUCAUUCAUUCUGGAAUUUGGAGUGCAGAGUAUGUGGAGAAAAUAUGCCAAUGGAAUGGAUAAAACAAGGAGAGAAAAUCAAACAAAAUGGACCUGCAAAAGAGAACAAAAAGAAGAAAAGAAAAAAAUGAAUGUUGCAAAUAUAUCUUCUGUUAAGAAGAGCCGAAAUCUUUUCUUCAUAAAGUACGAGUUUUGAGGAAAGUUCAGUGAAGUCCAUGAUCUCCGCUAUUACAAAUAUGUGAAAGAUAUGAUAUAUUGCAAACUAGUAGAAAAUGUUUGAGAAUGUAGUGAGUGAUGAAUAUCUUAAAGAGAAAAAAGUGAGACAUUGACAAUGAAGAUAUAAAUAUUUUUAAAAAGGGGAAUGGUGUUACUGGCCAGAAUGACAUGAAGUUAUAGGUGACCCAACUUAUUUCUGAUAUUAUUCUAAAUAAUAUUAAGUCUAUAGCCCUACAGUGCAGUUAAAGGCGUUCCUAAACCAACAAAAUGCCAGUAAUUUACAUUUACAUUUACAUAUGGGAAUCCACCAUUUUAGAAAGAAUGAAAAAUAUAGUUUCAGAGUUAGACAGCGUGCAAAUCCAAAGUUUAAAAAAAAAUUGGUGCACCCAACAGUGGCCGUAUAUCAUAUGUUUCCGACGCGGUAAUACUGCAACGUCCAGGGAAUGAUGGUAAUUAAUUUCUAAGAUUAAGGUUUUCUGUGAUGCCUCUUAUUUGAAGAGUAGAGAGCAUAUAGCCUCGAGAUAAAGUUACUUGUUAAGACAGUGACAUUAAGGUUUAGUCAGUGUUUGAGAUAUAGUUAACAUCCAGACAAGUUUAGAGAAAUGGCUGUAUAAACCAGCAGCUUUGUUUGAAAUGAGGGAAAAAGUAAAUAUUGAUAAGAUCCAAACGUCUGACUAAAUCUUGAGGUCAUAUUAUACAAGAGCUCAGGAGUUUCCUUAAUUUCUUGCAUAUGUCUCUCAUUACUCAGUGAAUAAUAUGUUUAUUAUACAGUAAGCUUCUGUAACUCUUUUUCUUGUAAUAUUUAGGUAUUUGUAAUUUGUAGAUAUGAAGAUUAAUUUGAAAUUAAUAGGAUCUCAGUAAUACUUAGGCAUCCCUUUGGAUGUUGAGUCACUUCGUAACAGAAGAGGUAGCAUGAGAGGGGGAGGUUUUUAUCCCUUGUGUCAUCACAGUCUGAUAGGGUUUACUAUGAAGAAAAGCUAUUGUCUGAAACACCAUGUUGGAGGAAGAUAAUGAUGAGUCACUUCACAAAGACUCUGGAGCUAAUGGACUCUUAUUGUAACAUUAGCUUGAACAAAAAGAAAAUUUUGGAAUGCAGUGUGCAACAAAAUCCAUGUAGUGCAAGGUUUAAUGGUGACUCCACAAAUCUGACAUUCAUAGGAGGCGAGGAUUGAAGUGGUUGUGAAUAGAUUAGUUUCAAGAUGAUGCCAGUCCUCGAUUGUGAUAGUUUGUGAUCCUCAUCGAUAAAGUGUUGGGAUGAUGCUGUAGAUACUCAUUUGUUAGAUUCUGGGAGAACACUAUCUUAUGAUGACCUAUAUAGUGCAACUUAUUUUGAGAGCUUGCAUCUGCCCAGCAAGGCCCUGUUUGUGUUACAUUUUGGUUACUGUGUGAAAAUUGUCCAUUCAUAUUUUGGCCAGGAUGUCACAUGAAACUUGUGUUUCAUGUGAUGACUAGAAAAUAAAUAAUAUCUGCUACCAAUAUACUCAGAAGUUCUUGUAGCACUUUGUUCCAAUUCCCACUGGAAGAUUAGUCUGAUCCAGCUAUUUGAGCAGAUGAUUAUGGUUAGAUAAGAAAAGAAAGACAUUUUAUUAUGAUUGGUGAAGGGAUGUCAGAUCCAGAGACCAGUCAAAAUGAAGUCUUAAAAGAUUAUUAAAAUAGAUGUGUGUUGAUCUGGACAUUGUACCUUAACAAAAGAUAUUUCAAGAUAGCUUUUUAUAAAGUUCAAAGUUACCGAUCAAUGGCACAUUUUUACUAAGAAAACACAGCGUGAAGUUCCCAGUGAAAAGGUGGAGCAGACGCCCUUGAGCCCAGUGUCGGGAUUGUACCUGUGCCUUCAGUCUCCCCGCGUUCUGUAGGGCCUUUGCUUCUCCUCCUCCUAUUCCUUUUCCUCCUUUUCCAUCUGCUUCUCCUCCUAUUCCAUCUCCUCCUGCUCCUCCCUCUAUCCUUUUUUUAUUUAUUUAUUUACUUUUUUCUGAACAUCCCAUUCCUUUAACUCCUGGUAGUUUCUGCUCUCACACAUUUUUUUUCCCUUUUUCUUUUUCUCUUUGUUUGAUUAUUAUAUCCCUUUUCCUAUUUCCUCUCAAUCUCCUUCAUUCAUUUCCGCCAUAUGUUAUUGAUGUCUCCCUGCCUUUCCUUUUCUUUCCUUAGAUUUUCUUCUGUUAAUAAAAUUGCAGUCAUGAAAAGCAUACUCAUUCUAGUGUAGCUUUUUCUUUUCUCCAUAAAUUUUGGGGCCUCUGUAUUUUUCUGUUUCCUUGAUGUAUUUCAAGUUCUGACUUUUUUUCUUAUUAUUAUUUUCUUAUUUUCCUAGUCCCUUCUUUCUUAUUU